rnacentral:rRNA from 1 species
UCUUGCAAUAAUACCACCCUGAACACACCUUAUUUUGUCUGGUUUUGGAAGUUAAGCAAAGCUAGGCCUGGUGCUUAUUUUGUCUGGUUUUGGAAGUU